rnacentral:rRNA from 1 species
CCCUUAGAUGUUCUGGGCUGCACGCGCGCUACACUGAAGCGUUCAACGAGUAUUCACCUUGCCCGGGAGGGUUGGGUAAUCUUUUGAAAACGCUUCGUGAUGGGGAUAGAUUAUUGCAAUUAUUAAUCUUCAACGGGGAAUUCCUAGUAAGCGCGAGUCAUCAGCUCGUGCUGAUUACGUCCCUGCCCUUUGUACACACCGCCCGUCGCUACUACCGAUUGAAUGGUUUAGUGAGGCCUUCGGAUCCGCGACUCGUUUCGUGGAGAAGUUGGACAAACUCAGUCAUUUAGAGGAAGUAAAAGUCGUANCA